GGGGGUGGGGAUGCUGAGUCACGGAGCCGUCGCGGCUCCUCACCUCUCCCCGGCCCUCCGGGGGCUAAAGCAAAAGCGAAAGCGAAUGCCACUCGCGGGGCGGCCGGUCGCGGCAGCUGCGCCCGCCACCUCCUCCGGGACGGUCCGGCGUCUGCCCGCGCGGCCGGCGGGGCGUCCGGGCCGCUGCGAGCCCAGGGCCCGGCGGGCGGGAGAGCGGCCCAGCGUCCGGCCAUGGCCCCGCGGCCGCCCUGGGGCUGCAGGGUCCGCGCGCUGCCCGCGCCGCCGCUGCUGCUGUCGCUGUCGCUGCUGCUGCUGCUGCUGCUGCUCCAGCCCGCGACGCCGGGCGUCACGUGCCCUCCUCCCAAGUCGGUCGAACAUGCAGACAUCCGGGUCAGGAGUUACAGCCCGAAAUCCAGGGAGCGGUACACGUGUAACUCCGGCUUCAAGCGUAAAGCAGGAACAUCCAGCCUGACAGAAUGCGUGUUAAACGAGACCACGAACAUUGCCCACUGGACAAUUCCCAAUCUCAAGUGCAUCAGAGACCCCUCCCUGACUCACCUAAGGCCGUCCUCCACAGAAGUGCCGGCAGGGGUGACCCCAGAGCCAGAGAGCACCUCCCUUUCUGGAAAAGAGCCCGCUUUCACUUCCAAGUCAGACACCACAGUGGCCACAAAGUCCACUAUGGUGCCGGGCUCCAGGCUGACGCCAUCAGAGCCUCCUGCUGCAGGAACCACAGGGCCGAUCAGUCAGGAGCCCUCCCAAGCCCCACCUCAGACAACAGCAAAGGCCUUGGAGCACACUCCUUCUGCCUCCCCGGAGACGCCAGGUACAUAUUCAUACCAUUCUGAAGCUAUGACUGCGGUGAUGGGGAGCGUACUCCCUGUGGUCUGUGUGGUGCUGGUGGGAAUUCUGGUCUGUUACCGAAAAUCGAGGCACACUGCGCAGACACCCGGUGUUGAAAUGGAAAGCAUGGAAGAGAUGCCAAUGAAUAGGGGAACCAGUGGCAGAGCGGAGGACGCAGAAAACUACCCACACGACCUAGGACACUCCAGGGAGAGACUGAGGGCAGCAGAGGCUCGAGCGAAGGCACCGACCCUGCCCUAGCCAAGGAGGACCUGGAAAUGACUCAAGAUCUUGGGUGCCAGCAGAGAGCCCGUCGGGAUGAUAAGGCAGACGUCUCGGCGUCAUUGUAUCGAUGGCUCCCAGCCAUGCACAUCAGAGGAAGUGGACAACCCAAGCUCCAGGAAAGGAGACUCUGAGUAACUGAACCCAUGCCCUCACCAGCGCCUGGCUUAGGAAUGGACAGAUGACCCAGUUGUCACCAUGGAGGUGGGGAAGCUUCUAGGAAAGUGUCCUGGCUCUUAAGAGCCGCAGAAGACGGGCUUCUCACUGCCCCUGCGCGUCUGGAUGCCCUGCCCCAAACUUCUGCAAACAGCCUGUAGCAGGGAAGUCAGCCCGGGCAAAGGGCAGAGGCAAAAGAACCCAGCUUCUCCUCAGCAGUGCUGAGCGGCUUCUGUCACCGCCCUACACUCUGUCCCCCUCUGCACUCCUAGGGGAAAUCAUAGCGUUUAUCGUUCAAUGCCCUUUGGAGUUUUUGUUUUGGGUUACGGCCAAAAAAGUGAUACAAAAUCUGAUACUGAAUUUGUUAAGAGAAAAUGGGAGACAUCCUAACAGACCCUAAAAUGGGGAACUGGCUGCGCAGAGGCAGUAGAACAGAGGGCAGGGGGGAAGGUCCCUACUACUUUCGGCUAGGAAGCCAGGGCCCCUCUAUUAUGUGGUUGUAAAGCAACGGAUUAAAAUGUCACCUGUUUUUUGGGGGGUCCAGAUUAGGAAAACAUACUGUGAGGAAAGUGAUGACUUAAAAAGAUCCAGAACCGCUGAGCUGGACAUUUAGGAAGGGAACACGAAACUGGGGUGCUGAUAUUGUGUUGGGUACUUCUCGGGCCUUCAGUAAGGCCCUUAGAACAUGAGCUUCAGUUGAAGGUAGACCAGACGUCUCUUCUGCCCGAGGUGCAAGUUUGAAAGAAGCCCCGGGGGGUUUUAAGCAGGAGGCUGACGAAACGUCACCUUCUUGCAAGAAGACACUGCGCUUCCUUCGUGGACAGAAGAUGAACUGGCAAAAGCACAGAGCGGCCACAGGCCGGGCCAGACGGGAGCGCCGGUUCAAGAGCGCAGGUGAUGGAGAGAAAUGCGGGGACUUGAGAUUCAUGGGAGGUCAGGUCAAAAGGAUGUGCGCGCUGGUUCUUUCCUGACGUGGGGAAGGGCGCAGGGAGGAGCCAGCCGGGCGGGGGAGGAAAUCUAGAGCCGCCUUUGGAUGUUUGAGACAGAACCAAACCGUCCCUGGGGUCCGCAGGCCGAGGCAGUUAGGGUUCAAACUGCUCUCCUCACCUCUCAGUCCAAACCGCUAGGAACGGGAAACACAUGGAAUCACGGGUGGUGGGGAAUGUGGGGCAACACCACCGGGCUCACUCGGAGAAUCUGCAAUUAAGCAGCCCAGGGAGGAAGGCAGCUCCCUCCAGAGGCUCCGAAGGCCCUCGCAGCCCAAGGGGAAGGCCUUUAUUGAAAGACCUCAGGUGAGGUCUUCAUCUGUCGGGGGCAGGGUCUGGAGGGACUCCAGCCACCUCAUUUGGGGCCGGUUCUACCGCACCCAUUCGCUGGCAAUGCAAAGCAGCCGGCUCGCAGCCCCCUCCCCUCAGUGUACCCCGCACUCCCCAAGCCCAGCGGGGCAGGGGGGCUGGGAAGGAUGGGUGGCAAAGACCCGGCUGGAGGAAAAGCAUCAGACAGCAAGGGGUCUCGAGGGGCGUCCAAGCCCCUUCCCAUGCAGGUGGCCGGCCCAGAGGCAGACCAGUCCCAC